rnacentral:tRNA from 1 species
GGGUAGGUGCCCGAGUGGCUAAAGGGAGCAGACUGUAAAUCUGCCGUCUAACGACUACGGUGGUUCGAAUCCACCCCUGCCCACCA